CUUGAUCAUUUUCCGGACCGGAUGUGUUCAUGAACCCCAUGUCCAUGGCUAUGAAACCAAAACCUUGUACAGCUGCACCGUACAUCAAGAUGUAAGGCGAAGUUAAAGCAUAUUCGAUUUGCCUUUUUCGUCUGUCCUUGAUUAAUUGUCAAAUUUAUAUUUUUUGGUAAAUAGACCUCAACGUUAUUUCACUUACAUUUUAUUAUAAAACUAAUAAAAGUAGGACACCUCCUAACUUUUUCCAUCCACUUUCCAUUACAUUUCUUAAAAUCUUAGUCAAGUAAUGGUGUACUUACCAAAGGUAGCAGAUUGCAUGAUCGUUGAUCCCGUGGCAUUGCUGAGACUGCUGGAAAUAACGGUCUUGUCCAUGCCAUCACCGUACAUUAAGAUGUUCCACUUAUUCAUUCCAGCCAACACAUUUUCAAGAUUUGCCGCUAUUGUCUUCCUUAUCGCAUCUGUUGCCGGCUUAAAGGCAUCUAAGCACGUCUGCAGGUCGGAUCUUGCAGCGCUCAGCCAUGUUCUAAAGUUGGUUCUAGUUCAUGCUAUUGCAACACUGUUAUUAGCAGGUACCGACAUGUUAAGAUUGUGAAACGCCAUGGAAAGAAAAUUGCGACAAGUUUCAUGUGACGAUAGCAAGACUAUAUCUUUUCCAACAUUUUGGGAAAAAUCUUGCAAGACUCGAAAAACCUCGUUUUUCGACAUUUGGACAGAAAUGUUGUAAAUAAUCUGAAGUUCAUAGCUAUUUUUGGAGUCAAGCAAAGGGGAAAGGUUAUCUAAACAGGCUUCGGAGUAAAGUGUGUCAUCA